GUAGGUGGCAAGCGUUGUCCGGAAUUAUUGGGCGUAAAGCGCGCGCAGGCGGUUCUUUAAGUCUGAUGUGAAAGCCCACGGCUCAACCGUGGAGGGUCAUUGGAAACUGGAGAACUUGAGUACAGAAGAGGAAAGCGGAAUUCCACGUGUAGCGGUGAAAUGCGUAGAGAUGUGGAGGAACACCAGUGGCGAAGGCGGCUUUCUGGUCUGUAACUGACGCUGAGGCGCGAAAGCGUGGGGAGCAAACAGGAUUAGAUACCCUGGUAGUCCACGCCGUAAACGAUGAGUGCUAAGUGUAGGGGGUUUCGCCCCCUUAGUGCUGCAGCUAACGCAUUAAGCACUCCGCCCUGGGAGUACGGCCGCAAGGCUGA
rnacentral:rRNA from 1 species